rnacentral:rRNA from 1 species
CCUACGGGAGGCAGCAGUGAGGAAUAUUGGUCAAUGGGCGAGAGUCUGAACCAGCCAAGUCGCGUGAAGGAUGAAGGCUCUAUGGUUUGUAAACUUCUUUUAUAUGGGAAUAAAGUGAGAAACGUGUUCUUUUUUGUAUGUACCGUAUGAAUAAGCAUCGGCUAACUCCGUGCCAGCAGCCGCGGUAAUACGGAGGAUGCGAGCGUUAUCCGGAUUUAUUGGGUUUAAAGGGUGCGUAGGUGGUUAAAUAAGUCAGCGGUGAAAGUUUGUGGCUUAACCAUGGAAUUGCCGUUGAAACUGGUUGACUAGAGUGUAGAUGCGGUAGGCGGAAUGCAUGGUGUAGCGGUGAAAUGCAUAGAGAUCACGCAGAACACCGAUUGCGAAGGCAGCUUACUAAUCUAUAACUGACGCUGAGGCACGAAAGCGUGGGGAUCAAACAGGAUUAGAUACCCCUGUAGUC